AAACUAUUAGGAGUGAAUAUCGGCCGAUAAUGAUCGGCAGCCGAUUGAUCGGAGCAUCCCUAAUGAAGACAUACAAAAAGUUCUUUACAAGUAAAAUGCUGUAAAACCAUCCCAUCACCUCAGAGCAACAGGAAGUGGGACCACCUCAUCCAUCACUACUGACCACAUGAUCCCCCCUCUGGAGGCUGGUCCUGUGUGUGUGUGUCAUUCAUCACUAACUGAGUGUGUGUGGUUAUUCUAAACUGAGUGUGCGUCUGCAGGUGGGAGGGCUCCCCCCCGCUGGACGCUGACAUGGAUGUAGAGGCGGUGCUUCAGGCUCUGUCUGGUGCCGGCUCGGUUCAGGUCCAACAGCUCGGCUCGGUUCUGAUGCAGCAUCUGAGGUCGGCACGGCAACGCAGAGUUGACAUCAUCGCCCAGGAGAUGAAGGCUGUGAUGGACGAGAGGGACGGGUCUGUUG